CCCCGGUUGGUGCAGUGGUUAGCACAUUGUCUUUGCCAGACAAAGGUCACGAGUUCAAAUCUUGUACCGGGGA
rnacentral:tRNA from 1 species